AUGUGCAGAGGAAGGAUAGUGGAUCUACUGGACAAAAGUAGUGGAACAUGGAGGUUCCAGACAGGAGGUAAAAGAGAAAGACCACAGAGAAAGUUUUGGGGUGCAGUAGGAGGAGAUAUUCCUCUUAUUAUUAUUAUUAUUAUUAUUAUUAUUAUUAUUAUUAUUAUAGGACGAGAGACAGCGGUAAGAGGAAAGGAGGGGGACUGGCAGUGUUUGAAUGACAGAUGGUGUAACCCUGGGCACAUCACUGUGAAAGAACAACUCUGCAGCAGAGACAUUGAGCUGUUAGUCGUUAGCAUGCGUCCGUACUACCUGCCCCGGGAAUUCUCGCAUGUUAUCGCGAUAACAGCGUAUGUUCCCCCCUCAGCCAACGCGGAUGCAGCCUGUGACUCUCUCCACUCUGUGGUCAGCAGACUGCAAACACAAUCUCCGAGAGCCCUUCUCAUAAUAUCAGGGGACUUUAAUCAUGCCUCACUGGACUCCACACUGCCCACCUUCACCCAGCAUGUGACCUGCCCAACCAGAGACAAUAAAACACUGGACUUACUGUAUGCCAAUGCUGAAGAGGCAUAUAGUUCAUCACCCCUCCCUCCACUGGGCAGAUCUGAUCACAACCUGGUGCACCUUGUCCCUGUGUAUGAGCCCUUAGUGCGCAGGGAGCCACCAGCCACCCGCACAGUGCAGAGAUGGUCGGAGGAGAGCGAGGAGGCUCUUAAGGAUUGUUUUGAGUCGACUGUGUGGGAGGUGAUCUGUGAUGACCAUGGAGAGGACAUCGACAGCCUUACUACAUGCAUUACUGACUAUAUUAAUUUCUGUGUGGAUAACACUGUACCUACCAGGACUGUACGGUGUUUCUCCAACAACAAACCUUGGAUUACCCCAGAAAUUAAAGCUGUCCUCAAGCAGAAGAGGAGGACCUUCAAAUCCAGAGACAAAGAGGAGUUGAAAAGGGUGCAGAGAGAGUUGAGGGGACUGAUAAGGAAUGGGAAGGACAGCUACAGGCAGAAGAUGGAGAACCAGCUUCAGCAAAACAACGUUGGUGAAGUCUGGAGAGGCCUCAGAACCAUCUCAGGCCACAAACAUCAGAACUCUCUGCCUGGGAGGGAUGUGAGGUGGGCAAAUGAACUGAAUCAUUUCUUCAACAGAUUUGAUUCAGCCAUGAGGCAGUCUCCAAGACUUUGUGGACUGGUGCCAGCUGAACUACCUCCAGAUCAACGCCAGUAA
rnacentral:lncRNA from 1 species